rnacentral:rRNA from 1 species
CCUACGGGGGAAGAGCAGUGGGGAAUUUUGGACAAUGGGCGAAAGCCUGAUCCAGCAAUGCCGCGUGCAGGAUGAAGGCCCUCGGGUUGUAAACUGCUUUUGUACGGAACGAAAAGCCUGGGGCUAAUAUCCCCGGGUCAUGACGGUACCGUAAGAAUAAGCACCGGCUAACUACGUGCCAGCAGCCGCGGUAAUACGUAGGGUGCAAGCGUUAAUCGGAAUUACUGGGCGUAAAGCGUGCGCAGGCGGUUUUGUAAGACAGUGGUGAAAUCCCCGGGCUCAACCUGGGAACUGCCAUUGUGACUGCAAGGCUAGAGUGCGGCAGAGGGGGAUGGAAUUCCGCGUGUAGCAGUGAAAUGCGUAGAUAUGCGGAGGAACACCGAUGGCGAAGGCAAUCCCCUGGGCCUGCACUGACGCUCAUGCACGAAAGCGUGGGGAGCAAACAGGAUUAGAUACCCUGGUAGUCCACGCCCUAAACGAUGUCAACUGGUUGUUGGGUCUUAACUGACUCAGUAACGAAGCUAACGCGUGAAGUGACCGCCUGGGGAGACCGCAA